GCAAGAUUAAAACUCAAAGGAAUAGACGGGGACCCGCACAAGUGGUGGAGCAUGUGGUUUAAUUCGAAGAUACGCGAAGAACCUUACCUAGCCUUGACAUUGAUAGAAUCUUCCAGAGAUGGAGGAGUGCCUUUCGGGGAACUUGAAAACAGGUGCUGCACGGCUGUCGUCAGCUCGUGUCGUGAGAUGUUGGGUUAAGUCCCGCAACGAGCGCAACCCUCGUCACUAGUUACUAACAGUUAGGCUGAGGACUCUAGUGAGACUGCCUUCGUAAGGAGGAGGAAGGUGAGGACGACGUCAAGUCAUCAUGGCCCUUACGGCUAGGGCAACACACGUGCUACAAUGGUUAGGACAGUGAGAAGCGAUACCGCGAGGUGGAGCCAAUCUAUAAACCUAAUCUCAGUUCGGAUUGUAGUCUGCAACUCGACUACAUGAAGCUGGAAUCACUAGUAAUCGUAGAUCAGCUAUGCUACGGUGAAUACGUUCCCGGGUCUUGUACUCACCGCCCGUCACACCAUGGGAGUUGAUUUCACCCGAAGCGGGGAAGCUAAACUGGCUACCCUCCACGGUGGAAUUAGCGACUGGGGUGAAGUCGUAACAAGGUA
rnacentral:rRNA from 1 species